AGCAGGGCUGUGCCACCCUCUGUGCCCACCUGAUGGGAGAUCUCUCCCCCGACCCCAGGGCCCCAACCAUGCCUCAUGCACAAACCACGUGUCUACCAUUAUAUUCCUUUCUGUAGCAAAAGACUUGGCAUGGGAAGCGUUCCUCCGUCUGCUCCAAGGGAGAGGCGACCUCUGAAAGGAAUCCCCUACUCCUGCCCCUGGCAGUGCCCAGCCAGGAAAGGUGCAGGGUCUCUGGGGGUGAGCCCCCCACCUGGGGCUCUCUUUGUUCCUUUCUGUCCUGGGGCUUUGGCUUAGGAAAAGACUCACACACAGUGGAGUUUAUGGGCACAGUUGGAUGUGUCUGUGUUGCCAUGACAACAGUGAGGGCUGCCCCUGUUUUCUUCUCCAUUCCAUACUCUGCUCCUUUCACAGGCUAAAACCUCUGUCUCUCUCCCCCAUUCAAGCACUAACCAGGCCCAGGCCUGCUUAGCUUCCCAGAUCAAAGGAAGUCAGGCAUCUGCAAGGGCAAGCCUCUUCUACCUCAAAACUUGUUGCACUCUUUCUUGCAAUUCCUGGUCAAGAUUCUUCUCGCACUGUGAGCUUUGCCUGUUUAACUCCACCUGACCUCAAACACCAGGACUCCUCUCAGCUUUUAAGUGCACUCUGGAAUAUCGAUCUGCGCUUGCUUCUGUGGUACUGAGUCUAAAAAGAAAGACAAGGCCAUCUUUGCCUUGGGGAAUUUGCAAUCCUGGAGCAGAAGGUAUAUGUGCUAUGAUGGAAAUACAUAGAGGGUCCAGUGGGAGCAUGGGGAGAAAUGGAAACACUAUCUCAGGACAGGUCUGGAAAAUCUUCCGAGAAAAGAUCCCAAGCCAAGUCCUGAAAGAGGCACAGGUGUUCGUCAUCUGGGCAGAGUGGAGAGUGGCAUUCCAGACCAAGGGAACCGCCUCAGCAGAGGUGUGAGGUGCUUGGGAAGGGGAGGUAGGUGCCAGAUGUUGGGGGAGGGUGAGGCUGAAUCACCUCCAGGUGUUUAGGGGCAUCUUCCCAUUCACUCCUCUCCCAGACCCUCCCUUGAAGCAGUCUUUAGUGGAACCAUCUUCUGCUGUUUGGAAUCCACAGUCCUUCAGGGCAGACUAAAGAUCCUGGGCCAUGCAAUAUGCUUCAAAUGACCUCCUUCCUUAGCCUUCAUCUUCGGGCUACCAUGAGUCAGAAUUCUCCGCUGCAAGUCCCACUAACCAACUCUCUCUGUU
rnacentral:lncRNA from 10 species